GGAGUUAGCCGGUGCUUCUUCUGUGAGUGAUGUCCUUCCUGCCGGCUAUUAACCCGCAGGCCUUCUUCCUCACUGAAAGUGCUUUACAACCCGAAGGCCUUCUUCACACACGCGGCAUGGCUGGAUCAGGGUUGCCCCCAUUGUCCAAUAUUCCCCACUGCUGCCUCCCGUAGGAGUCUGGGCCGUGUCUCAGUCCCAGUGUGGCUGAUCAUCCUCUCAGACCAGCUACGGAUCGUCGCCUUGGUGAGCCGUUACCUCACCAACCAGCUAAUCCGACAUAGGCUCAUCCGAUAGCGCGAGGCCCGAAGGUCCCCCGCUUUCCCCCGUACGGGCGUAUGCGGUAUUAGCCUGGGUUUCCCCACGGUUAUCCCCCACCUACCGGGCAGAUUCCUAUGCAUUACUCACCCGUCCGCCGCUCGCCACCAGGGAGCAAGCUCCCCGUCGCUGCCGCUCGACUUGCAUGUGUUAGGCCUGCCGCCAGCGUUCUAAUACUGAGCCACGAAAUACGAACCCUACGACCUAGAGACGGGCGUCGGCGAACGGACGGCGACUACGA
rnacentral:rRNA from 1 species